rnacentral:rRNA from 1 species
CAGCAGCAGCCGCGGUAAUACGGAGGGAGCUAGCGUUGUUCGGAAUUACUGGGCGUAAAGCGCACGUAGGCGGCUUUGUAAGUUAGAGGUGAAAGCCUGGAGCUCAACUCCAGAAUUGCCUUUAAGACUGCAUCGCUUGAAUCCGAGAGAGGUGAGUGGAAUUCCGAGUGUAGAGGUGAAAUUCGUAGAUAUUCGGAAGAACACCAGUGGCGAAGGCGGCUCACUGGCUCGGUAUUGACGCUGAGGUGCGAAAGCGUGGGGAGCAAACAGGAUUAGAUACCCCAGUAGUCCCUGUCUCUUAUAC